rnacentral:rRNA from 1 species
AGGCGACGAUCCGUAGCUGGUCUGAGAGGAUGAUCAGCCACAUCGGGACUGAGACACGGCCCGAACUCCUACGGGAGGCAGCAGUGGGGAAUAUUGGACAAUGGGCGAAAGCCUGAUCCAGCCAUGCCGCGUGUGUGAAGAAGGCCUUUUGGUUGUAAAGCACUUUAAGCAGGGAGGAGAGGCUAAUGGUUAAUACCCAUUAGAUUAGACGUUACCUGCAGAAUAAGCACCGGCUAACUCUGUGCCAGCAGCCGCGGUAAUACAGAGGGUGCGAGCGUUAAUCGGAUUUACUGGGCGUAAAGCGUGCGUAGGUGGUGGUUUAAGUCUGCUGUGAAAGCCCUGGGCUCAACCUGGGAAUUGCAGUGGAUACUGGAUCACUAGAGUGUG